AACGAACGCUGGCGGCAUGCCUAACACAUGCAAGUCGAACGAAGGCUUCGGCCUUAGUGGCGCACGGGUGAGUAACGCGUGGGAAACUGCCUAUUGGUGGGGAAUAACGACGGGAAACUGUCGCUAAUACCGCAUAAGCCCUUCGGGGGAAGGAUUUAUCGCCGAUAGAUGUGCCCGCGUCCGAUUAACUAGUUGGUAAGGUAAUGGCUCACCAAGGCGACGUUCGGUAGCUGGUCUGAGAGGAUGAUCAGCCACACUGGGACUGAGACACGGCCAAGACUUCAACGGGAGGCAGCAGUGGGGAAUAUUGGACAAUGUGCGAAAGCCUGAUCCAGCAAUGCCGCGUGAGUGAUGAAGGCCUUAGGGUUGUAAAGCUCUUUCGGGUGGGACGAUGAUGACGGUACCACCAGAAGAAGCCCCGGCUAACUUCGUGCCAGCAGCCGCGGUAA
rnacentral:rRNA from 1 species